rnacentral:rRNA from 1 species
UAGAGUUUGAUCAUGGCUCAGAUUGAACGCUGGCGGCAGGCCUAACACAUGCAAGUCGAGCGGUAGAAAGUAGCUUGCUACUUUUGAGAGCGGCGGACGGGUGAGUAACGCGUGGGAAUCUACCUGGUAGUGGGGGACAACUUGGGGAAACUCAAGCUAAUACCGCAUACGCCCUACGGGGGAAAGGAGGGGCUCUUCGGACCUUUCGCUAUCAGAUGAGCCUGCGUAGGAUUAGCUAGUUGGUAGGGUAAAGGCCUACCAAGGCGACGAUCCUUAGCUGGUCUGAGAGGAUGAUCAGCCACACUGGGACUGAGACACGGCCCAGACUCCUACGGGAGGCAGCAGUGGGGAAUAUUGGACAAUGGGGGCAACCCUGAUCCAGCCAUGCCGCGUGUGUGAAGAAGGCCUUCGGGUUGUAAAGCACUUUCAGUGGUGAGGAAGGGUGUGAAGUUAAUACCUUCAUACAUUGACGUUAGCCACAGAGAAGACCGG